rnacentral:rRNA from 1 species
UACAGAGGUCCCAAGCGUUGUUCGGAUUCACUGGGCGUAAAGGGUGCGUAGGUGGCUGGGUAAGUUUGAUGUGAAAUCUCCGGGCUUAACCCGGAAAUGGCAUUGAAUACUAUUCGGCUAGAGGUUUGGAGGGGGGACUGGAAUUCUCGGUGUAGCAGUGAAAUGCGUAGAUAUCGAGAGGAACACCAGUGGCGAAGGCGAGUCCCUGGACAACUCCUGACACUGAGGCACGAAAGCUAGGGGAGCAAACAGG